AGAGAGAGAGAGAGAGAGAGAGAGAGAGAGAGAGAGAGAGAGAGAGAGAGAGAGAGAGAGAGAGACCUGGUUUAUCAAGGCACAAGACCGAGAAACGAGUUCAAUGUCAUUCCCAUCUAAAACUAGUUCAUCCUUGACCUUUUCGGAACGGAGAAUGGACACUCCAUCAAGCAUGUCCACUUUUCUUACCU